rnacentral:tRNA from 1 species
GCCGGGCUGGCUCAGUCGGUAGAGCAUGCAACUUUUGAUCUCAGGGUUGUGAGUUCAAGCCCCAUACUGGGCA